UGUUUCAUCCCCCUUGCGCAAGUCUCGCACCAUAAAAAGCGUCGCACAUCGCGAGCACUCAGCAUUCGUACGGCUCAGAGCUUGGUCCGUGAAGACAGAAGUCGUCAUGAAGGUUCACGUACUUUUGGCGAUCUCCGUCGCUGUUUGUGUUUGCGAUGCCUUCUACAUACCCUCCGGCUCAGCAGUCUACCACGACAACAACUACUGGAAUACUCGAAACUACUACAGAGACCCACUAAGCCAAGGACCAUCCCAUAUUCCCAGAGACCUAAGAGCCUAUGAUGAAUACCUUACCCGCCAUUCUAACCGUGACCUUACGGCCUCUCCUUGGGACAAAAAUCAGAACAGGGAGCCCAGCCCUUUUGACGACCCAGCCAUGCGAUGGGCGGCGAAAAGGGCCAGCCGAAUUUUCGGUCCCUUCGCCCCUGCCAUCCGUGGGCUUCUAACUCCAAAUCCCGCAUAUUAGUUUGGAGGGCACGACAUUAUGCCCUACAAAAAGGGAAUAAUAAAAAAAAAUCUUCAAAAUAAAAGGCAACUUUUGUUGAGAA